rnacentral:tRNA from 1 species
GCCGCCUUAGCUCAGCCGGCAGAGCACUUGACUUGUAAUCAUGAGGUCUCCGGUUCGAUUCCGGGAGGCGGCU